UACAGAGGUCCCAAGCGUUGUUCGGAUUCACUGGGCGUAAAGGGUGCGUAGGCGGUCGGGUAAGUCUGACGUGAAAUCUUCAAGCUCAACUUGGAAACUGCGUCCGAUACUAUUCGGCUAGAGGAAUGGAGGGGAGACUGGAAUACUUGGUGUAGCAGUGAAAUGCGUAGAUAUCAAGUGGAACACCAGUGGCGAAGGCGAGUCUCUGGACAUUUCCUGACGCUGAGUCACGAAAGCCAGGGGAGCAAACGGG
rnacentral:rRNA from 1 species